rnacentral:tRNA from 1 species
UUUAGGGAGACCAUCUGAUAGUCGACCGAACCUAAACAAUAGGUCGUUGUCAGUCAUCCCUGGUCGUUCGAGGAAUAGAUGUCAAAGCUUUCAAACUAUUAACUGGUUCGGAACUCGCGGGCUAUUAGCUCAGUUGGUUAGAGCGCACCCCUGAUAAGGGUGAGGUCCCUGGUUCAAAUCCAGGAUGGCCCACCUGGAAAAAAGUGAUGAAUUGUCAGUAAUGAGUAAUGGAUAAUCAAGGAUUAAUUCAGGAUUAAUUCAGGACUCAUACAAUCAAAAUCAGAACUUACAAGUGUGGGGGUAUAGCUCAGUUGGUAGAGCGCCUGCCUUGCACGCAGGAAGUCAGCGGUUCGAGUCCGCUUACCUCCACUCUCACUAACUAUUACCACCGCCAAAAAAACCCAAAAAAAUAGAAAUCAGCACCCAGACUAACUUGGUCAACAAAGAAGUCGGAAUGCUGGAGUCUAGAACUCUAGUCAGAACCUUGAAAACUGCAUAGAAAUUAAGUCAUCAAAGCGUGUCAGUCAUCCGAGAAAUCGGAGUAUCUGACCAGCGACCACCAUGAAAAAAUCAAGUGUCAA